CACGUAGGCACCAAGCGUUGUCCGGAUUUAUUGGGCGUAAAGAGCUCGUAGGCGGUUCGGUAAGUCGGGGGUGAAAACUUUGGGCUCAACCCAAAGCCUGCACUCGAUACUGCUGUGACUUGAGUCCGGUAGGGGAGUGGGGAAUUCCUGGUGUAGCGGUGGAAUGCGCAGAUAUCAGGAGGGACACCGGUGGCGAAGGCGCCACUCUGGGCCGGUACUGACGCUGAGGAGCGAAAGCGUGGGGAGCGAACAGG
rnacentral:rRNA from 1 species